AUGCUGGGCGCGCGGGCCUGGUUGGGCCGCGUCCUUCUGCUGCCCCGCGCCGGUGCAGGCCUCGCCGCGAGCCGCAGGGGUAGCUCCUCCCGGGACAAGGACCGAAGUGCGACGGUCAGUAGUUCAGUGCCCAUGCCUGCUGGAGGGAAAGGAAGCCAUCCUUCAUCUACACCCCAGAGGGUCCCCAACCGCCUGAUCCACGAGAAGUCACCAUACCUCCUACAACAUGCCUACAAUCCUGUGGACUGGUGAGCACCUCUCCUGGGGCCCUGCCUGGAAUCGCUGGGGUCCUGGGCCCCUCCCAGACCCCCUGGGCUACUGAGUGAUGCCCCACCCUGCUGGGUCUAGGUACCCCUGGGGACAGGAAGCCUUCGACAAGGCCAGGAAGGAAAACAAGCCGAUUUUCCUCUCAGGUAAUGCUCCCACCUUCCCUGAUGUGGGGGUGUGGGCAGGGAGUGGCAGUGGAUGGGGGAGGGUCCUCUCGGCCUGGCGGGUCUU
rnacentral:lncRNA from 1 species